rnacentral:rRNA from 1 species
ACUACGGGAGGCAGCAGUGAGGAAUAUUGGUCAAUGGCCGGGAGGCUGAACCAGCCAAGUCGCGUGAGGGAAGCCGGCCCUACGGGUUGUAAACCUCUUUUGUCAGGGAGCAAGGUGCAGGUCGGGACCUGCUGUGAGAGUACCUGAAGAAAAAGCAUCGGCUAACCCCGUGCCAGCAGCCGCGGUAAUACGGAGGAUGCGAGCGUUAUCCGGUUUUAGUGGGUUUCAAGGGUGCGCAGGCGGAGGCACAAGUCAGCGGUAAAAUCGCGGGGUUCAACCCCGCUCCGCCGGUGAAACUGUGUCCCUUGAGUGCGCGAAGGGUAGGCGGAAGGCGUGGUGUAGCGGUGAAAUGCAUAGAUAUCACGAAGAACUCCGAUUGCGAAGGCAGCCUGCUGGACUGUAACUGACGCUGAUGCUCGAAAGUGUGGGUAUCAAACAGGAUUAGAUACCCCUGUAGUC